UCCAAUGGUCAAAAACAUAGUCAAAAUUUUUUAAACAAGAAAUCAUGACAACUAAAAUAUUUAAUAUACACUAAAUAUUUGAAAUGCUCAAAAAUGGUCAAAAAAAUCUUUGAAUUUUAAUCUCAUAUAUAACAAUCCCUCGUAAGAUUCAAAGAUUUUUAAAAAUAAAAAAUAUAGAGAUAAAUUUUUAUCCUCACAACUCUUUUAAUGUAUUAGGC
rnacentral:lncRNA from 1 species